rnacentral:rRNA from 1 species
CCUACGGGGGGCUGCAGUGGGGAAUAUUGGACAAUGGGCGAAAGCCUGAUCCAGCCAUGCCGCGUGUGUGAAGAAGGCCUUCGGGUUGUAAAGCACUUUCAGUGGGGAAGAAAGCCUUGGGGCUAAUACCCUCGAGGAAGGACAUCACCCACAGAAGAAGCACCGGCUAACUCCGUGCCAGCAGCCGCGGUAAUACGGAGGGUGCGAGCGUUAAUCGGAAUUACUGGGCGUAAAGCGCGCGUAGGCGGUCUGAUAAGCCGGUUGUGAAAGCCCCGGGCUCAACCUGGGAACGGCAUCCGGAACGGUCAGGCUAGAGUGCAGGAGAGGAAGGUAGAAUUCCCGGUGUAGCGGUGAAAUGCGUAGAGAUCGGGAGGAAUACCAGUGGCGAAGGCGGCCUUCUGGACUGACACUGACGCUGAGGUGCGAAAGCGUGGGUAGCAAACAGGAUUAGAUCCCCGUGUAGUC